GCGCUCGUAGCUCAGCUGGAUAGAGCGUUUGGCUACGAACCAAAAGGUCGGGGGUUCGAAUCCCUCCGAGCGUA
rnacentral:tRNA from 2 species